GACGAACGCUGGCGGCGUGCUUAACACAUGCAAGUCGAACGGAAAGGCCUUGCUUUCUGGGUACUCGAGUGGCGAACGGGUGAGUAACACGUGGGUGUUCUGCCCUCUACUCUUUGAUAAGCCUUGGAAACUCGGUCUAAUACCGCGUAUAGCCUUACAUCCCAUGUUGUUUGGUGGGGAGCUUUUGCGGUUCGGGAUGGGCCCGCGGCGUAUCAGCUUGUUGGUGGGGUAAUGGCCUACCAAGGCGACGACGGGUAGCCGACCUGAGAGGGUGAGCGGCCACACUGGGACUGAGACACGGCCCAGACUCCUACGGGAGGCAGCAGUGGGGAAUAUUGCACAAUGGGCGGAAGCCUGAUGCAGCGACGCCGCGUGAGGGAUGACGGCCUUCGGGUUGUAAACCUCUUUCGCCAGGGACGAAGCGUGAGUGACGGUACCUGGAGAAGAAGCACCGGCUAACUACGUG
rnacentral:rRNA from 1 species